GACGAACGCUGGCGGCGUGCUUAACACAUGCAAGUCGAACGGUAAGGCCCUUCGGGGUACACGAGUGGCGAACGGGUGAGUAACACGUGGGUGAUCUGCCCUGCACUUCGGGAUAAGCCUGGGAAACUGGGUCUAAUACCGGAUAGGACCACUGCCUGCAUGGGUGGUGGUGGAAAGCUUUUGCGGUGUGGGAUGGGCCCGCGGCCUAUCAGCUUGUUGGUGGGGCGAUGGCCUACCAAGGCGACGACGGGUAGGCGGCCUGAGAGGGUGACCGGCAACACGGGGACUGGGAUACGGCCCAGACUCGUACGCGAGGCAGCAGUGGGGAAUAUGGCACAAUGGGCGCAAGCCUGAUGCAGCGACGCCGCGUGAGGGAUGACGGCCUUCGGGUUGUAAACCUCUUUCAGCACCGACGAAGCGCAAGUGACGGUAGGUGCAGAAGAAGGACCGGCCAACUACGUGCCAGCCGCCGCCGUAA
rnacentral:rRNA from 1 species